GUGCUUGCUUCGUCAGCACCUACACUAAAAUUGGAAAGAUACAGAGAAGAUUAGCCUGGCCCUUGCACAAGGAUAACACACAAAUUUGUGAAGCAUUCCAUGUUUAA